rnacentral:rRNA from 1 species
GCAUAUCAAUAAGCGGAGGAAAAAGAAACUAACAAGGAUUCCCCUAGUAACUUGCGAAGUGAAGCGGGAAGAGCUCAAAUUUAAAAUCUGGCGGUCUCCGGCCGUCCGAGUUGUAUUCUGGAGAAGUGCUUUCCGCGCUGGACCGUGUAUAAGUCUCUUGGAACAGAGCGUCGUAGAGGGUGAGAAUCCCGUCUUUGACACGGACUACCAGUGCUUUGUGAUGCGCUCUCAAAGAGUCGAGUUGUUUGGGAAUGCAGCUCAAAAUGGGUGGUAAAUUCCAUCUAAAGCUAAAUAUUGGCGAGAGACCGAUAGCGAACAAGUACCGUGAGGGAAAGAUGAAAAGCACUUUGGAAAGAGAGUUAAACAGUACGUGAAAUUGUUGAAAGGGAAACGCUUGAAGUCAGUCGCGUUAGCCGGGACUCAGCCUUGCUUUUGCUUGGUGUACUUUCCGGUUGACGGGCCAGCAUCAAUUUUGACUGUCGGAUAAAGGCCAGUGGAAUGUGGCACCUUCGGGUGUGUUAUAGACACUGGUUGUAUACGAUGGUUGGGAUUGAGGACCGCAGCUUCGGCUUAGGAUGCUGGCGUAAUGGCUUUAAACGACCCGUCUUGAAACACGGACCAAGGAGUCUAACAUGCCUGCGAGUGUUUGGGUGGAAAACCCGAGCGCGUAAUGAAAGUGAAAGUUGAGACCUCUGUCGCGGAGGGCAUCGACGCCCGGACCUGAUCUUCGGUGACGGAUCUGCGGUAGAGCAUGUAUGUUGGGACCCGAAAGAUGGUGAACUAUGCCUGAAUAGGGUGAAGCCAGAGGAAACUCUGGUGGAGGCUCGUAGCGAUUCUGACGUGCAAAUCGAUCGUCAAAUUUGGGUAUAGGGGCGAAAGACUAAUCGAACCAUCUAGUAGCUGGGUUCCUGCG